rnacentral:lncRNA from 1 species
ACUUGCAAAAUAUAAACAAAUUCGAACAACUGCUUGGGCCCUCUACCAACGCUUGUUUUUCUCCAAAAAUGAAAAAAAUCGUUUGUUUUGAGCAAGGCAAAAAAUUUAUAAUUUGUUUCCUAAUUAAUUAAUUUGCAUACUACGCCUAUGGAAUACAUAACUACGAUCAUUUUCUAAAUAGACCCUACGAUCGUGCCGUUGCCAAGGAAACAACACCGUAGCUAAGUAAGGCGGGAGGGCGGUCUUAUUGUUAUGAUGCAGAAUCAUCUGAUCAUCUGAUUCUGCCUUCAUACGAUUUUAAUAUUCGAACGCGUUACAUGGUGUCUGUUAUUUGUGUUUAGUAAGUACGAAGUGCCACUAUUUAACCUAUUUUUGGAUAUUUUGGUGUUUAUAUUAGACUUUCGUUUCAUUAUUAAUUCACAAGUGACAUUUGAAGAAUUACAGCGAUUAUCCUGCCUAGCAACAGCGUUGGUAAUAAUGGCUGACGGUGUGACUGGAAGAGUUGUAACCAGAAGUACAAGUGAAUGUCCCAUUUUUGGUGCCCCUUCAGAACUUAAAAGUACCGUUUUGCCAACUAUUGGAGACACUAUAAAAGGUUAUUUGUAUAUUAAACAUAAAUAAAUCCAUGAACGAUCCGGCCAAGAGCCAAACGUUUCGGAAAUAUCCACAGUUAGGACAUCAAAUAGAAGAAAUUUGGCAAAGAGCUUCGAUUCCCACAGUAUCACACGAACGCAUCCGUCAACUGAUUGGUAAGCAUUAUAAUACAUAUCGUAGCCUUAUCAGAUAUCCACAAAAAAAAACGUAAUGAAAACUACACCAUAAAAGUAAAAACUUUUAAACACGAAUCAACGAAGCUGUUUGAUAUCGCAGCCUGUAAAUGCCCAAUAAGUUGUUGUUGUGUCAAGUCACGUAAGGUUCCAACUGAAGAACGGUCUUUCCUUUUGGACCAGAGAUCAAAUAGAAGAAUGGGGAUUGGAACUGUCGAUAUAAUUGAGACUAAUAAAUUAAGAAAGAAACUUGAAAGACAAAAA